CGCCUUAGAAGCUGAACAAACUCGGGCGGAGGUGGCCAGUCUUCGUCAGCAGAUACAGACGCUACAGUCACAGAUCGACCAGCUGCAGGAAUCGGUGCGCACGCUGGCCGAUCUGACCAGCGGGGGCGGCAGUCCGAUCGGCACCGUGCCCGAAUCAGACGACGAGGACCUGGCCGGCGCCGGCAGCGGACAGUUCGGCUACUACGACGACUACGAGGACUACAACUUCGACGACUACGACUACGACUACAGCAGCGAGCAGCGCCGGCGGAGAAAGAAACGACAGCACAGGGGACUAAAGACGGCACCGCGGGGAAGAAAAGACACUUCCGGCAGCGCCUCUAGACGCGCCCUAAACUCGGUGCGGGUUAGGAAUGCUCUACGCAGAGGAAAACUAGGCAGGAGGGGAGCUAAGGCGUAAUAACAACGGAACAAUGUGAGAACCUUCUCGUAUCUGCGUCGUCGCGAAGUGGACUGCUCGUGUGCGGUAACCGAUGUCUCAACUCACUGCCAAUUCGACUGCAUUGCGUCAGUCGAUCCCCACUCCUCUUUCGUCAGUGGAAGUAAAAAAUGGCUAACCCAUUGUUUUUAUACACGAUUUACCCACUU